rnacentral:lncRNA from 1 species
UCUGUGGCAGUUUCAUUCCAAACCGAUGGAGGAAGACAAUGAAAAGUGUGGUUUUUUCCACUGUGAAACCAAAACCUUCUUUAGAUUGGCUAUUGCACUCCUUUCUUCUUACGAUGACUUUUUGGAUUUUUAUGGAUGUGAUAACCUUUUGAAUAUUGAGGAUUUUUCUGGAUAUCUCUUAGUUGAUGACUUUUGUGAAUGAAUGAUUCUCGGUAUCGUCUAGUUGAUUGGGAAUUGCUUUAACUUUCCUUUGUCCCUUUUUUUGUUCUAAAAUCAUGUGUGUGCUUGAUGGUUUUUUUGUGUGUACCUCUAAUGGUUUUUAAGUUUCUAUUGUUUGGUGGAUUGUUGUAUAUGGGGGAAUUGUGCUUGGUUUGGAACUUGGUCAUUGAGGAAAAAAAUAGAGUAGAAGUGUAUAUGGGAACAUAUAUGGGAUAGAGAACAACUAUGAAUGUGGAGUGAAAAUGUAUGGAUGAAUGAACAACACAAUAUCUUAUGUUUUUUUUUGGCUUCCUUAUUGGUCUCAUGACUUUGCUUGAAUGAAUAUGGAGUAGUAAAUUUAAAAGUGGAUGGAAACAAAACUAUAGAAUAUGUGUUGAAGGAGGAGGAGCCAAAAAUGGUGUGUAAACAUAACAAAUAGACUAUUUGGUACUAAUAUGAAAUCAAGAACCUCAUUUUCCAUUAAAUGAUGAUGCUCAAUAAUAUAGGGGAAAUAAGAAUAUGGCUAUGAUGAAUCUGAUAUGCUUUGUAUUUUCCUUGUUGUGACUUAGAUUUUUUUGUGGUUGUGGGAAAAGAUAAUAGGUUAAAAAGAACCUCUGUAACACAGGUAAUACCAUGUAUGUAUGGAAUUUUUUAUGGUUAGUGUCAUCAUUAGGCAAUUUUGGGUGAUGGUAAUUGGUUUAUAUGUUGAUGAAUAGAAUAUGAAAAAGAAUAAAGGAUUGAUGGUUACAGAAUGAAAGGGAUAAUUUUUGGAUUGAGAUAUUGAAGAGAGAAGAUGAUAUCUCCUCGCCCGUGUGAAGGUGGGGUUGUAUGGAUUUUAUGGGGAAAAUGUGGGUGGUUUCUUGUAGAAGUGGUGAGUGGGG